ACGGCGUGGCCUCAGCCAUGACAGCGACGUCCGCGUCGCCGCUCGGCCCCGCCCGCCGUGCCGUCCGCGCCCUCACCGGAUCGCGUGCUCGAUGGCGCGUGGCCACCGCCGCCGCCUCUGCUCGGCUGAUCGGGGCAGUGCGGAGGGAGGUCGCGCGCGCGGCGACGGGCCUCGGUGACGAGCUCGCAUUCGUCGCCCGCUCCACCGGUGACCCGCGCCUCAGCUCUCCCCCCGACCCCUCCCUUGGAUCCCAUCUCACCUCCGUGGCUCCGUCCAUCACCAAGCUCCCUCCCUUCCUCUCCCAUCUCCCAGAUCAUCUCCGGCCCCAAGCUCCCUCCCGUUCGAAGUCAAGUUUUCUGCAGGUUCAGUGUGCCUCCGCAACUUGGACGCAGAGCAGUUCAAGGAAUUUCUAUGGUGAUGAAUUUGCUCCUUGAGUACAAACUGUGACGAUGAGCAGAGCUAUUUCUCCAUGUUUUCAGGAAUUUUAUGCAUUGGGACGUGCCCUGAGCCUUCAUUCAUUACCUAAAAGUAGGAAAAUAUGAAGUGGUUCCAUAUAAUCCAACAUGAUCUACAAAUGAGUAAUUUAUCAUUUAACAGAAAAUGAUCUACAUGGCCCUUCUGUUAUUAUUACUCAUAAAUUUAAUGCACUUUUUGUUCAAUCGAUUUGUCUGGAUGCAAUUACCACAUAAUUGCUGCCUCAGAGUGUUCUUGGAAUCAUUCUUGGAGGUGGUGCGGGGACUAGAUUGUCCCCCCUGACAAACAAGUGUGCCAAGCCUGCAGUUCCAUUGGGUGCCAACUACAGGCUCAUUGAUAUCCCUGUCAGCAAUUGUCUCAACAGCAACAUCUCAAAGAUCUAUGUGCUGACACAGUCAAGAGUCUAGGGAAGCAAUAUUGGAGGUUACAAGAAUGAAGGCUCAGGGCACGUCCCAAUGUGGAUUUGUUGAAGUGUUAGCCGCGCAGCAGAGUCCAGAUAAUCCAAAGUGGUUCCAGAAUCACAUGAAUGUCUAAGUGAGGGGAGAUGGAGGCGAUGGCGACGACACAUAGGCGACAGCGGAGGCAAUGGUGGUCUGGGUGCUGGUGGCCGCUGUGCUGGGCACCGCGCGCACCCCUGGACCACAAGCUGCUCAUGGACGCCUCGACCCGCAAUCCUGCACUACUGCACAGGAGAUGUCAAUACACGGCGAUGGCACUGGCGGUGGCGGUGGACGCAGCCAACAGCCCCAUGAAGGGGAGGGCGUAUGCGAUGCCGCUGGUAACCUCUGCAAGAUGGAGCCAGGUCGAGUUGGCCAAAAGCCUCCAUAUCAUCUAUAGCGCCGUCCUCUCCAGCACCUAGGACAUCCUCCAUGGGUUCAUUUCCACCCGCUCAGUGUGCAACAUGCUCCACGGCUAACCGUGUGUUUGGUUGCGGGGUGAAUGGAUUGGGUUGGAUCCAACCCGAAUUCGUCCCACUCUCCAACCAAACAGACGGUAAGAAAUUUCCCAUAGGUUUGUUUUGCCUAUACCCUGCUACGAGAUGUUCAUGCUGGUUUGGUCAAUUGAUGCAUUCUUUACUGUCUUUGUGCGUUCAAUUAGUUAGGAUUCAAAUCUACAACUGGAUUCACAAUGUUAAGUACCAGGGCUUUGCUUUCUUUUGUGUUAAGUGAUCUAGCGUUCAGUGUGCAAUAACGUUUAUUUGAAGCACCGUGAUGCCAUGAUUUUGAUGGAAAUUACUUCUAUAUAUUUGCCGGCUCAUGAGCUGAGGGCCCUACGGCAGCUGGUCCUACAUGCCUAGCGUGUGGAGGGCGAUUGGUGAUGGAGUGCCAAGGAAGGCGCCAAGGAAGCUUUGUGCAUUCUGAUGGAUGAUUGGAGCCAGAAGGUGGACAAGAGGACUGGCUGGGACGGAGUGAUGGAUGGGCAAAACAAUGGCCGUGGUUUGGGUGCGAGCAAUCAGGUUGAAUCAUUCUAUUUAUCAUCGAUGUUCAAAUUUUGGAGUGGCCCCGAAGAAUUGUGCGCAAUAGAGAAUAAGGAAUAAUUUUGAGUGAAGGUCUAGAUUUUGCAUUAGUUGGGAGUGUUGGGUUUAUGUUUAAUAUCCUGUGUCACUGUCAUCUAUCUCAUAUUAAUUAUACUUUAUAUUACUCUUUAUCCUGUCAUGACAUACCUUGAAUAUUUACUAUUAAGAUUCUUGAACAUAUACUUUUCCUUCU